UACAGAGGGUGCGAGCGUUAAUCGGAAUUACUGGGCGUAAAGCGUGCGUAGACGGUUCUGUAAGUCGGAUGUGAAAUCCCCGGGCUCAACCUGGGAAUGGCGAUGAAGACUGCAAGGCUAGGAGUUUGGCAGAGGGGGUGAGAUUCACGUGUAGCAGUGAAAUGCGUAGAGAUCGGAGAACACCGAGUGGCGAAGGCGGAGCCG
rnacentral:rRNA from 1 species